rnacentral:rRNA from 1 species
CAAACGGGGACACCCGCACGUAUAGAUGGACAAGAAUAGGCUUCGGCUUAGCGUCUUAGCAGGCGACUCUUCCACGGCGCUCGAAGCGCGUCGUGGUAUUUCGCGUAUUGUAAUUUCAACACGAGCGGGGUCAAAUCCUUUGCAGACGACUUAGCUGUGCGAAACGGUCCUGUAAGCAGUAGAGUAGCCUUGUUGUUACGAUCUGCUGAGGGUAAGCCGUCCUUCGCCUCGAUUUCCCCAAUGGGUUCUCCGGAUUUCUGGAGACUUGUAGGGGUUGGUGGGUUUUUGAUAUGUCGUCUCGGGACGGGCGGUGCAGGGUAGUCGGGUUAGACUUGGUGGAAUUCCUUCGAGUCUGUCUGGCUUGCUUGUGUGCAGCUGUGUGUCGGACGGUGCAGGGUAGGCAGCGCGGACUUGGUCGAUUCGAGGAUCUGGCUGUCAAUAAUAAUGUGUGAUGUGACCGGUCUAGGGUAGGCUGGUUUGUCUUGAUCAAAUUUGAUGUCGGCUCCCGGGCAGACCGGAAUGCAGGUGGUGCAGGGUAGGUGGUUUAGGCUUGGUCGAUCUGGCGUAUGAUUCUCUUGGGUGGCGGUCUAGGGUAGGCUCAUCUGACUAUCGAAGCGAGAUGUGAGCGGGCGGUGCAGGGUAGGUCACUUUUGCCUUUGCCAUGCCGUGAGUAUGGCAGGAUGUGAGGUCUAGGGUAGGUACAGGGUAGGCAGAACUUGAGUUUGGCCGCUCAGAGUUCGAAGUAGGUAUAGGGUAGGUCAAUCUCGCUCGAGCCUGUACUUGCCUAUGCGUGCGAAAUGGUUUUGCGGUUUGGUGGUCGUGAGUUGAUUUUUUGGUUUUUCCAUACUAUUGAAUUUUGCGGGAAUUCAAAAGUGGCUCUGGAGUCCUGUCUGGCGUGCGUCCGACUCGAACAUCGUCGGUCAACAUAUAAGAGGGAGUAUCUGGCCCGGCCGGGGCCCACGGACAAUGCCAGGGUAGGAAAAG